GAAUGGACAUCGCCGCUUUUCGAUAUUAAUCCCAAGGAACUCGGCCCAGAAAUGUUCUUGACAUAUAACCAAGAGAAGUCUAUGGAGUCAUUUUACACAAAAGAAUAGGUGAGUUGACAUGACAGUAACGGCCAACGCUGGUCCAAUUUGUCUCUGUACAGACACUAUGAGGAGCUUCCUUUCAUGUGCAUCAAAGGGUGAUUCUUGAUUUCUUUGAUGGUGCCUUAGUUCUUUGUUGUCGAUUUCAAUCCUCCACUGAUAAUGUCUUUUAAAAAUCUUGGCAAUUUGGAAAAUUGCUGGAAUUGGUUUGGAUUGGUGGGGCAGACUCCCUUUUCACAUGCUCUGUCUAAAUAUCAUGGUGCCGACCCACUACAGCAGAGUUCUUAGCCAGUGCGCCUUAGGUAGCCUACCCGCCCUUAGUUAGAGAGACCAGCUCUUAUAAGACUCAAGUCUUUGUGGACAGGGGUGGUUUCUGACAGAAACGAAGGUAGUUUUGUGGUGCCUGGUUCAUUCCUGUCGAUUCGAAUACUCCUCCAUCGAAAUCCGAACCCAUCAAUUUAUAGCCUUUGUAAAUUUGGCCAAAAAAGAAAAAUUUGAAAAUCGCUGGAAAUAGUUGGGAUUGGUCAGACUGAAUCCUUUUUCAAUCUCUGCGUCGAAGUUUUACGCCGCCGGGCCAUCUUAAGUGAGAUACGCCUGUCUUUGGACCGGUUCGCCUGCGAGGUAGGCAGCCCAUCGUACGCUGACCGCCAGAUUCAAAAGACCACCCUUAAAACUCAAGUUUCUCUGGAAAGGGGUGGUUUCUUGCUGAACCAAAUGUAGUUUUGUGGUCCCCUGGGCCACCUCUGUCGAUUUGACUACUUUUCCGUCGAAAUCCGGACCCAUCAAUUUUCGCUAAAAACACAAAGGCUAUAGCCUUUGUAAAUUUGGCCAAAAAUGAAAAA